ensembl:lncRNA
UGGGGUUUUUUUUGGGGGGGAGAUUUUGGGGUUUUUUUGGGGUUUUUGGGGUUUUUUGGGUUUUUGGUUUUUUUGGGGGAGAUUUUUGGGGUUUUUGGGGAGAUUUUUUGGGGAGGUUUUGGGGUUUUUUUGGGGAGGUUUUGGGGUUUUUUUGGGGAAGUUUUGGGGGUUUUUUUGGUUGGUUUUGGGGGUGUUUUGUAGGGUGGGAUUUUUGGGGGAGGUUUGGGGUGUUUUUACGGUGUUUUCUGGGGGUUUUAGGGGUGUUUUUGCCGUGUUUUUUUUUUGUGUUUUCUGCCUGUUUUGGGCUGUUUCUCUGCCUGUUUUUCUGCCUGUUCUGGGGUGUUUUUGUGGCUGUUUUGGGCUGGUUUUCUGCCUGUUUUUGUGGUGUUUUUCUGCCUGUUUUUCUGCCUGUUUUUCUGCCUGUUUUUCUGCCUGUUUUUCUGCCUGUUUCUGGGCUGUUCUUCUGUGUGUUUUUCUGCCUGUUUCCUGUGUGUUUUCUGUCUGUUUUUGGGCUGUUUUUGUGGCUGUUUUUCUGCCUGUUUCCUGUGUGUUUUCUGCCUGUUUUCUGUGUGUUUUCUGCCUGUUUUCUGUGUGUUUUCUGCCUGUUUUCUGUGUGUUUUCUGCCUGUUUCCUGUGUGUUUUCUGCCUGUUUCCUGUGUGUUUUCUGCCUGUUUCCUGUGUGUUUUCUGCCUGUUUUGUGGUGUUUUUCUCCCUGUUUUCUGCCUGUUUUUCUGCCUGUUUUGGGGUGUUUUUCUGCCUGUUUUUCUGCGUGUUUUCUGCCUGUUUUCUGUGUGUUUUUCUGCCUGUUUUUCCGCCUGUUUUUCUGCCUCUUUUCUGCCUGUUUUGGGCUGUUUUUCUGCCUGUUUCCUGUGUGUUUUCCCGCCUGUUUUUGGGGUGUUUUUCUGCCUGUUUUGGGGUGUUUUCCCGGCUGUUUUUGGGGUGUUUUUCUGCCUGUUUUGGGGUGUUUUUCUGCCUGUUUUCUGCCUGUUUUCUGUGUGUUUUCCCGUCUGUUUCCUGUGUGUUUUCCCGGCCGUGGCGGGGCUCCCGGGUACCGAUCAUGCGGUGGAACACCUCCUGCAGGUCCUCGGUGUCCCUGAGGAAGAAGAGGUGCUGCUCCCCCGCCUUGUGCGACGCCAGCGCGUUCAGCGUCUCGGCGUGAGCGUCCUCGCCCAGCCCGAAGGCGUAAACGUCUGCCGGGGCGGGAGAAACGGGGUCAGGGCGGACUGGGACACCCCGAAACGCACCGGGAAUGCACGGAAACACCCGGAAACACCCAAAAACAACCCGGAAACACCCAAAAACAACCCGGAAACACCCAGAAACACCCCAAAAUGCACCGGAAACAGCCCGAAACACCCCAAAAACACCCCGAAACGCACCGGGAACGCCCGGAAACACCCGGAAACACCCGGAAACACCCAAAAACAACCUGGAAACACCCAGAAAUACCCCCAAAACACCCCGAAACGCACCGGGAACGCGUGGAAACACCCGGAAACACCCAAAAACACCCAAAAACAACCCUGAAACACCCAAAAACAACCCAGAAACACCCAGAAACACCCCAAAACGCACCGGAAACAGCCCGAAACACCCCAAAAACACCCCGAAACGCACCGGGAACGCGCGGAAACACCCAAAAACAACCCGGAAACACCCAGAAAUACCCCAAGAACACCCCAAAACACACCGGGAACACCCAGAAAGACCCCGAAAACACCCCAAAACACACCGGAAACACCCAGAAACACCCUGAAACACCCAAAAACAACCCGGAAACACCCCAAAACACCCUGAAAUACACCGAAACCACACCAAAACACCGCAGGACACCCCAGAGGUCCCCCAGAACCCC